CGGCUAGGGUUACUCCAUCGUCGCCCUAUAUAAAACCAGGACGAGGCACGCGCCGCCUCCCAUCCGCGUCUCACUCCAUCCAGUCGCCGCCAACUCCGCCGUCCGAGGGAGCCGCGCCGGGGAGCGAACGCCGCCGCCGCCGCGAUGAGGGCCAAGUGGAAGAAGAAGCGGAUGAGGAGGCUGAAGCGCAAGCGCCGAAAGAUGAGGCAGAGAUCCAAGUAGGCUGAGCAUCCCAGUCUGCCGAGAUGUUGCAAGUUCUCAUCAAUUUUAGUUUCCUUACUACCUGAAACAAUCCUAGUGGAAAUGUAUCUUUAAUAUCUGUUGUUAGAUGGAUCCUGGUUAUGACUUGUUAUCAAGACUGUUCUUCAUAUCUCUUUUUAUGCGAAAGCAUUUUAUGCUGUUUAUCGUUGUCAAUCU